UACAGAAGGAAUUUGUGCUAGAUAACUUUAUGCUGGUGCUGGGGGGGUCAUAUUAUCUGUAGACAUUCCCUACCCUGGUCAUGUAUGGUCACGUGGUCUGUAGACGUUCUCUACCCUGGCCAGGUAUGGUCACGUGGUCUGUAGACGUUCUCUACCCUGGCCAGGUAUGGUCACGUGGUCUGUAGACGUUCUCUACCCUGGCCAGGUAUGGUCACGUGGUCUGUAGACGUUCUCUACCCUGGCCAGGUAUGGUCACGUGGUCUGUAGACGUUCUCUACCCUGGCCAGGUAUGGUCACGUGGUGUGCCCAGGUCUUGGUAGACAUAUCUUACUGAACUUUUUGCUUUUAUUUUCCUUGAC